rnacentral:rRNA from 1 species
UUCGCAAUGCCCGAAAGGGUGACGAAGCGACGCCGCGUGGGUGAGGAAGGCCUUCGGGUUGUAAAGCCCUGUCAGGAGUUAAGAAAUGUAAGUGCGCUAAUAUCGCACUUAUUUGACGAAGGCUCCAAAGGAAGCCACGGCUAACUCUGUGCCAGCAGCCGCGGUAAUACAGAGGUGGCAAGCGUUGUUCGGAAUUAUUGGGCGUAAAGAGCACGUAGGUGGGUUUGUAAGUCAGAUGUGAAAGCCUUCUGUUCAACGGAAGAAUUGCAGCUGAAACUACAAGUCUUGAGUGUAGGAGGGGAGAAUGGAACUUCUGGUGGAGCGGUGAAAUGCGUAGAUAUCAGAAGGAACGCCGGCGGCGAAAGCGAUUCUCUGGCCUAUUACUGACACUCAGUGUGCGAAAGCUAGGGGAGCAAACGGGAUUAGAUACCCCGGUAGUCCUAGCUGUAAACGAUGGGCACUAAGUAGAGGGGUUUU